rnacentral:rRNA from 1 species
UACGAAGGGGGCUAGCGUUGCUCGGAAUCACUGGGCGUAAAGCGCACGUAGGCGGAUCUUUAAGUCAGAGGUGAAAUCCCAAGGCUCAACCUUGGAACUGCCUUUGAUACUGGGGAUCUCGAGUCCGGAAGAGUUGAGUGGAACUGCGAGUGUAGAGGUGAAAUUCGUAGAUAUUCGCAAGAACACCAGUGGCGAAGGCGGCUCACUGGUCCGGUACUGACGCUGAGGUGCGAAAGCGUGGGGAGCAAACAGG